rnacentral:misc_RNA from 1 species
GAUGAAGAACGCAGCGAAAUGCGAUACUUGGUGUGAAUUGCAGAAUCCCACGAAUCAUCGAGUUUUUGAACGCAAGUUGCGCCCGAAGCCAUUCGGCCGAGGGCACGUCUGCCUGGGUGUCACGCAUCGUUGCCCCCCCAAACUCCGGUUCGGGCGGGGCGGAAGUUGGCCUCCCGUGCGUGCCUGCGCGCGCGGUUAGCCCAAAAGCGAGUCCUCGGCGACGAGCGCCACGACAAUCGGUGGUUUUUUUACCCUCGUUCCUCGUCGUGCGUGCCCCGUCGCCCGAACGCGCUCUUGCGACCCUUACGCGUCGCCUCGGCGGCGCUCCCAACGCGACCCCAGGUCAGGCGGGACUACCCGCUGAGUUUAAGCAUAUCAAUAAGCGGAGGA